UACGGAGGGUGCAAGCGUUAUCCGGAUUCACUGGGUUUAAAGGGUGCGUAGGCGGCGCGGUAAGUCGGUUGUGAAAUCUCGGAGCUUAACUCCGAAACUGCAUUCGAUACUGCCGUGCUUGAGGACUGGAGAGGAGACUGGAAUUUACGGUGUAGCGGUGAAAUGCGUAGAUAUCGUAAGGAAGACCAGUGGCGAAGGCGGGUCUCUGGACAGUUCCUGACGCUGAGGCACGAAAGCUAGGGGAGCAAACAGG
rnacentral:rRNA from 1 species